rnacentral:rRNA from 1 species
AUUGAACGCUGGCGGCAGGCCUAACACAUGCAAGUCGAGCGAGCGGCGGACGGGUGAGUAAUGUCUGGGAAACUGCCUGAUGGAGGGGGAUAACUACUGGAAACGGUAGCUAAUACCGCAUACCAUCAGAUGUUCCCAGAUGGGAUUAGCUAGUAGGUGGGUUAACGGCUCACCUAGGCGACGAUCCCUAGCUGGUCUGAGAGGAUGACCAGCCACACUGGAACUGAGACACGGUCAAGACUCCUACGGGAGGCAGCAGUGGGGAAUAUUGCACAAUGGGCGCAAGCCUGAUGCAGCCAUGCCGCGUGUAUGAAGAAGGCCUUAGGGUUGUAAAGUACUUUCAGUGGGGAGGCGUUACCCGCAGAAGAAGCACCGGCUAACUCCGUGCCAGCAGCCGCGGUAAUAC